GAUGAACGCUAGCGGCAGGCCUAAUACAUGCAAGUCGGACGGGAUUUGGGAGCUUGCUCCUAAUGAGAGUGGCGCACGGGUGCGUAACACGUAUGUAACCUACCUUAGUCAGGGGGAUAGCCUCUCGAAAGAGAGAUUAAGACCGCAUAACAUUAUUGAGUGGCAUCAUUUAAUAAUCAAAUAUUAUAGGACUAAGAUGUGCAUGCGGAACAUUAGCUAGUUGGUAGGGUAACGGCCUACCAAGGCUACGAUGUUUAGGGGAUCUGAGAGGAUGGCCCCCCACACUGGUACUGAGACACGGACCAGACUCCUACGGGAGGCAGCAGUAAGGAAUAUUGGUCAAUGGGCGGAAGCCUGAACCAGCCAUGCCGCGUGCAGGAAGACGGCCCUACGGGUUGUAAACUGCUUUUAUACGGGAAUAAACCUACUUACGUGUAAGUAGCUGAAUGUACUGUAAGAAUAAGGAUCGGCUAACUCCGUGCCAGCCGCCGCGGUAA
rnacentral:rRNA from 1 species